CUAUUACAAACUUCUUUAUAUAUAUAUAUGAAGGAGAAAAAAUCCAAAUUCAAAGAGAAACCAAUCAUAAUAAAAGUAGAUGAAACUCUAAUAAAUGUACAAUUAGGUUUUUAGACCGUGUACAUAACAUUGAGGUGUAUAUAACACCUCAAUGGUACAUAACGGCAUAAUCGUUGCCAACCAAGCAGCAAUUUUGAAAAAUAAGGACUCCGUGCACCUCUGAAUCGCUCGAGCUGGGAUCAGCGUUGUCAAGAAUAACAAGCCAAGGUCACAUGCUGUCGUGAGUCAGAUGUUAAGAAACGGCAGCAGAUUAGAAUUGGUCAUUAAAUUUUCAGAUGAUCAACUUCCAGAAAGCACCUCAAGUCUGCGGAUCAGUGUGGAUGAUGCACUUCCCCAUGCAACAAUGCCAUACUGGAGAUAUGAUUGAAAUAGGGAAAAAUAAAUUAAUCGCAUAGCUGAUGUGAGUUCAUGUACAGUUCCAAAUCAUUUGAUGAAGCUGAACUUCCGAAUAGUCCAGUAUCAUCAGCAAAGAGUUUCACAAGUAAGUUAGUGGCAUGAGGGAGAUCAUUGACAAAGAGUAUGAACAUUACUGGCCCGAUUAUCGAUCCUUGUGGAAUUCCACACUGUACAGUUUCAAGUUUAGAACAAUGUGAUCCUAUUUUGACAUAUUGUUGACGUGAGCUCAAGUAGUUCUGGAAUAAUUUUGAUGCAUGUCCGCGAAUACCAUAGUGGCACAUCUUUUUAACUAAUAUGUUAUGAUCAACGGUGUCGAAUGCCUUUUUUAGG